GAUGAACGCUGGCGGCGUGCCUAAUACAUGCAAGUCGAGCGAACAGACGAGGAGCUUGCUCCUCUGACGUUUGCGGCGGACGGGUGAGUAACACGUGGAUAACCUACCUAUAAGACUGGGAUAACUUCGGGACACCGGUGCUAAUACCGGAUAAUAUAUUGAACCGCAUGGUUUAAUAGUGAAAGACGGUUUUGCUGUCACUUAUAGAUGGAUCCGCGCCGCAUUAGCUAGUUGGUAAGGUAACGGCUUACCAAGGCAUCGAUGCGUAGCCGACCUGAGAGGGUGAUCGGCCACACGGGAGCUGAGACACGGUCCAGACUCCUACGGGAGGCAGCAGAAAGGAAUCUUCCGCAAUGGGCGAAAGCCUGACGGAACAACGCCGCGUGAGUGAUGAAGGUCUUCGGAUCGUAAAACUCUGUUAUUAGGGAAGAACAAAUGUGUAAGUAACUAUGCACGUCUUGACGGUACCUAAUCAGAAAGCCACGGCUAACUACGUG
rnacentral:rRNA from 1 species